rnacentral:sRNA from 1 species
UUCAAAAUAGAAAGUCAAAGUACUGGUCAAUCAAGAUUACUUUUGUCUGCUGCUGUCGCUGCCUGUAAAGAUAUAGUUGACAAAGCAUAUGAAAUUUCUCUCAUCUCAAAGGUAUUUGACUACAUAAAUCUGAUGAGCUAUGACUUUUAUGGUAGCUGGGAUAAUGCGACUGGUCAUGUAAGUCCAUUGUAUCCACCUAAUCAGACGGUAGAUGAGACAGAAAUAUAUUAUAACCUGCACUUUGCAACAAACUACUGGGUGAACCAAGGUCUUCCCAGAGAGAAGCUCGUGGUUGGUCUGAUUACUUAUGGACGAUCUUUUACUCUUAAGAGUCCGAAUCUCUCUGGUCUGAAAGCCCCAGUUAAGGGACCAGGUGUAGCUGGCGAGUACACAAGAUAUGAAGGAAUUUUAUCUUUUUAUGAGGUUAGU